AGCGCAGGCGGUUUCUUAAGUCUGAUGUGAAAGCCUUCGGCUUAACCGGAGAAGAGCAUCGGAAACUGGGAGACUUGAGUGCAGAAAAGGACAGUGGAACUCCAUGUGUAGCGGUGAAAUGCGUAGAUAUAUGGAAGAACACCAGUGGCGAAGGCGGCUGUCUGGUCUGCAACUGACGCUGAGGCUGAAAGCAUGGGUAGCGAACA
rnacentral:rRNA from 1 species